rnacentral:tRNA from 1 species
CAAGGGUGAAGUUCCUGGGUGGGGAUGUUGUCCUUCCAUCCACUAAGAUAUGCUGACCCAAUACUAUGCACGUUCUAGACGAUAACUAAGUGAGAGUCCCCAGAAGGGCGAAAACGUGCAGGUGUUACCGAGACACAGAACUCCAAGGCUGCAGAGACCUGAAUUCUGCUAGUCCUUGGUCUCUCCCUGACAUAACUGAAUAGGUCCCAAGCCGUUUCACUACCUGUCAUCCACUACUACAAGCUGACUGACAUCAGUUAAAACGCAACCAGGCUCUGGCGGUCGAGGGGUGGCACCAAGCAGGAUGUGGGGGAGCAGAAAGCGAGUGCUUGCCCUAGUUCGGAAGUGCCUUCCCUCUUCCCGGCCCUGAGCACUGUGCACUGUGAGCCCCUUCCUGACCCCCGAGUGUCCACUCAGAACAAAAGACCUAUCUGCACACUUUGAAGCGCUCAGUUCACUCGUAUCUCUUUCCAACCCAGCCUCAAUGCUAUUCCAAGUGAGAAUCACAUUAGGGCGUUCUGGCUUCUGCAAAAGCCAAAGGCUGGGCUCGUCCGGGAUUUGAACCCGGGACCUCUCGCACCCGAAGCGAGAAUCAUACCCCUAGACCAACGAGCCGACGCGCAAAACCGACCGUGGACGACUUUACAGGUCGUCCCAGGCUUUCUGCGGUCCCAGGGCUGUGAUUCUCGGUGCCCUGAUCUUAGUGCGCACCCGGGGACCACCAGCCCCGACGCAGAACACAGUGGAGCAGGGGUCUGGGAUUCUCUCUCUGCUCUUGACCGCGAGCUUCGACUCCUCCCAGGAAAUAACGUCGGGGAAGUGGGAGGGAGUGGUCUCGGCCUCGCCCACGAGCAGCCUUCCAGGACUGCCUCGAGCACCAGAGAAACCUGCUUCCUAGGAUCACUGUCCAGGAGACUGCUCAGCGAGAACACCAAAAAACAGAAUUGUGAUUGACUUCACACUGGUGGCCCUGCCCCAUCUUCCCGGGAUGCUCUUCCAUUCUCUCGCCCGUCUGGAACAGCUUUCUCUCAGGUAAGAGCAGACGCGGAAGCUACCCUGAGCUCGGCGGAGCACCCUUCCAAGCCCUGACCUGAGCGGGCAGUUUUGUUUUGAAAAGGAGUGGGUUCGGUGUCGUUCGUGAUUUGGGAAGGUAACUAGUUCCAGGUACAAACUCCCGGAUAACAGCAGGUAUGCUGCUGCUGCUGCUGCUAAGUCACGUCAGUCGUGUCCGACUCUGUGUGACCCCAUAGACGGCAGCCCACCAUGCUCCCCCGUCCCUGGGAUUCUCCAGGCAAGAAAACUGGAGUAGGUUGCCAUUUCCUUCU